UACAGAGGUCCCAAGCGUUGUUCGGAUUCACUGGGCGUAAAGGGUGCGUAGGCGGCCGGGUAAGUCUGAUGUGAAAUCCCGCAGCUCAACUGCGGAACUGCAUCGGAUACUCUCCGGCUAGAGGAAUGGAGGGGAGACUGGAAUUCCUGGUGUAGCGGUGAAAUGCGCAGAUAUCAGGAGGAACACCAAUGGCGAAGGCAGCUCGCUGGGACGGUACUGACGCUGAGACGCGAAAGCGUGGGGAGCAAACAGG
rnacentral:rRNA from 1 species